rnacentral:lncRNA from 1 species
AGAGCAAGGCCGCCGCCAGCUCUCCCAGGAACCGUCGCGAGGCGUCCCCUCGGCGGCCGCCUCAGUUUCCCUGGCCGUAAAACGCGGGCGAUGGCGCUCGAUGCCCCGGGAGACGCCGGGGUCCGCGGGCCCUUCCGGCACCGGGUCCUCCUUCAGGUUCGGGCACCCGGCUGCCUCCACGCGGGGCGAGCGCGGCGAUGGGAUCGGUCCGUGCUGCGCUCAGCCCCGCUUUCGCUAUCCCUCUGCUCCAGGGGCAGCAAAAUCAGCAGAUGAGCCCCCAGCGCGCCUGCGGCCCACACACUGCGGCCGUAACAGUUAAACAGACGGGGAACAUUCAUGUGCGUAGAGCUCUUCACGGGGCGAUACAGAAAUGUGUCGUUCUAAAGCGUUAACGACCUGCAAUUUGCAUAUCCUCCAACACAUGGAUUUUACUGAUUCAAUUAUGGAUGUGUGCAAAGAAUCUGCUGCUCGGUGAGUCAUUGUUAAUUGUCGGCUUUGGGGGGAAUACAUAAAACGUGGAAUAUUGGCAAUUUAUCGUGUUUCGACCUUUUAUAAAGGCGUCACCAGGCUGCUGAGGCUAAUACAGAAACGCAGACCAUAAAAAAGAUCUGCGUCCACGCUGCAGGCGGGCCUCACGCUGAGCUCCCCGUGUCGACCCGGGGACAAAGCCUGCUCAGGAAGAGCAGAGGGUUCCACGCCCUGCAGGACCAGCGCCCUGGGCCCCUCUCCUGGAAAGUUAUGACUCGCACGUUCCCAGGAUUUAGCGCACAUCUCCCCCACCCUCACUGCCAUUUCACAGAACCGGGGCAGCCGCAGGGCUCCUGCAGGACCUCCCGGACGCCGCGGGGCCGUGUUCCCUUGAGCGGCUUCUUGGGUCCCUGGUUGGAGAGGGGACCACCGAGCAGCUUCGCUCUGCUCCUGGGAGGCUACUUCUGCCACUGGACGACUUUCCAAAAGGGUGAGCGCAGUUCUGCAAUCCUGUUCUCACCCCUGAGGGCCUCACACCAGUUUGCAGGAGCCAGCAGUGUGAUUGCCACCGACAAGUUCCCAACAAUUUGCAGGGCGUGGUGUCCUCAGUGCUGAGAGAGCCCCGCGACGGCGGUGCAGCUCCUCCAGGGCGCGCAGCCCCGCCACCUGGCGCCACCGCGAGGGAGCGCAGGCCCAGGGCCCGGGCAGACGCUGGAGGGGACGCGGCAGGUGAAGAUGGGGCACCUCCACUUCCCUUCUAAAGGAGCCUGGGAAUAGGCUAGGAAAUGUCCCCACUGUAGAAGACAGCAGGAACAUCUGACACGCGGAUAACCUGUGCUGAGCUCGUUAUAUUCCCAGCAUUUAAUUCUAGCCAUUAGGCAUGCGUUAGCCACAACUUCGCAUAGGAAGGUUAUUGCAGGUAAGUUAAGACUCCUUUCCACUUCUUCCUAAGGGUCGCUGACCCAUGGUUCUCUAGCUUUUGCUGGUAAUCCCACCCAGAUUCUCAGCACCCUAGGUUGGAAUGACCCCUCCUGAGGUGGGUGGGGUAGCUGGGAGGCACCUCCCUGAACUGACUUUUCUGCCUUUUUGAAGGUGCAGUGGCUGAGCGCUCCUUCAGUGUUUUCCGGUUGUCUUUCUUCAGCCCAGUACGCAGUUUCCUCAGACAGUCUUCCUUGAGCAACUUCCUAAACGCCCUUCAUUAUCCCCCUUCAAGCUCAUGCCUAGGAGCAAGGAGCAAAGCCAUUAGAAAGGCUUCAUCCACCAGCAGGAGAAGCUAGGACAUCCCAAAGGGUCCACUUCUAGAGAGGUGCCAACCCCCACACGCACACCAGGCACACAAAUGCAUGUGUGCACACGCAUACCACACCCUCCAAUUGUCCCCAGAAUGGCUCCCUUCAGGGAGUCAUGUUCCGGGACACCAAAUGAGGGAAAAUAUCCUUCUCCUACAGUUUCCUGCUCACAUUUGGAUUGAGAAAUGGGAUGUCUCUAAAUAAUGUGUCUAAAUUCUCUUAACAUAAGUGCAUAUGUUACGAGAGAUCUGAUCCCAGCCUCCCUUUUUUGUUAAAGUGGUGGUGCUUUGCCACCCAUGUCAAAAUGAUCUGGGCUUUCCACAUCAAAUGCAAGGGAUGAGCUUGGAGGACAUACCCCAGUACCAGCAAUGAUCUUGAGCCAAUGGCAGCGUCAGCUCACAACGGGGUGAUUGAGGCUUCUUGGUUAGAAGCUUUAGAAACUUGAGGUCAGUAAAACCCAAAUUGAUCCUUUCUCUAGAUCCUCUAGAUUUCUCUAGAGGAAAAGGUGACAAAAACAGACACUUGUGCUCACCGUCAGGGGCACAAUGCUGUCCGUCAAUCCUCAUGCAGUCCUCCCCACCAUUUCGCACACUGACACCAUCACUACUUUAUGAUAAAAGGAGACUCAGGCAGCUUAGAUAACAGCUGAAACUCAGCCAGCUAUGACAUGGAACCUCUGAGGCCCAGCUCCUUGCCUGGUCAACCCCCAAGCCCACAGAAAUGGGUUUCACACUCAGGCAAAGCACUGGGCCCGACUGACUGAGCAAAUGUAAUUUUAUGCUUACAUUAUUGAUCCUGCUUUAAUAUCAGCCAUUUCGUACAGGUCUCAGAAAGAGAAAGGCCUGCCAUCGAAUUCAAAUGACUUUGGUCUUUAAAUGAAAAAGCACAAUGUUUCUCAAAUAUCCAAUUUUAUUUUAUCAUUCUCGCAUUGUGGGAUGCGAUCUGCAGCUAGGAUCGGAAUUCCCAGGCCUAUAGAUUUUUAAACCACACCACAGGGGUAAACCUUAAAAGAAGUGAAACCUAACACUAUAUAUAUUUCCAUUUCUAAAUACAGUAUAUUACAGAAGUUUAAAUAUACCACCUCUGUGUACUUACAACUAUAAAAAGAUACAAUAACUCUACCAAUUAUAAAUAAUGUAGCAUUUCAUAUUAAAGACAUUAUCGUACAAUGGAAGAAUAGGAACCCUCUAACGUAUCACUAUCAAGGUUAGUGUCUAUAUCUACUUGAGAUAAAAUACUGAAAAUUCAGUGUAUGAAGCCAAAUCCUGAUUUAACAAGUUAUUGGUAGUAUAAGUGAUAAGUGUUAGCUGAUGAAGGGAAGGCAAAUGUGGUAAUUUAUAUCUCUGACAAGGGUGAUAGGCCCAUUUUAUACAUGGUUUUCGUUAUACACACACUGGUUCUGUUACGGGCCCUCAUUUUAUUAUUGCCCUCCCCAACUUAAUUUGCAAACUUAAGCACUACUUUCCCAAUUAGGAAAGUACUAGUUAGUAACCAUAAAAGUAUCCGUCGGAUAACACAUUUGUUUUUGUUUUUGAAGCUAUAUGGGAACACUUUCAGUUUCCCAAGUUAAAACAUGAAAUUGCACAUCAUCAUUUGGAUCCCCAAAGAGGAAAAGAAAAAUUCACAACCUGCCAGUGAAAUACUCAGGCCACUUGGAUGAAGACCGAGGUCCUCCAUAGAAUCCAGGUGUUAUUUACUAACUAAUCAGAAAUUAAUAUCAAAAUAGGACUUAAAAAUAACAAGGCUGUGUUAUUACAGCAGUCUUUCCAGUUGUGUACGCUUUACUAAUCUAAAUUGGGUAACAGAACUGGAGAAAAGGAAGACUACACAGACUUAUCAUAAGCUGUUAGUGAACGUGAUAGAAAUGCGUAAUUUGUUAAAGCGAAUUACAGCUCUGAUUUGUCAAAUGAGGAGGUGAAUUAUCCUAGGAUUUGCUAUGCUGUUGUGGCGUUAGAAGAUUGGAUCUUUAGCAGCAAAGGUAACCUCAACAAUAUUUUCUGCUUAAGAAAGUGCCUUGGUUAAGGUAGACCGUGAUAUCGUCUUUGACUAAGCUCUCUGGGCUAUUGAUUCUGUCAUAUUCCAAAGGCAGUAUUGGUUUGAAGCCGAAUCUCACGGUCAAUGUCAACAUGCAAUCCACAAAGACCCUGGCGCCCUUCCACGGUAUGCACUAACCAAAACUUUCUCACUGUGAAAUCCUUUUUUUAAAAACAAGAAAACAAAAAACAAAAACCAAAAAACCUUACUGUGAAUCCUUUCCCAAGGAAUGGUCCCACCUUCACCUCGGAAAGAGGCGUGGCUUGCUCUGUAAGCAGGUCCACCCUGAGGAGACCGCUGGUGCAAGAGCCCUGCUUGCAGAACACACAGGGGGUUUUCCCACAUUCUUACUGGAGUCAGAUUCGGCAAAGCAUUUCAAGCAACUGCUGGACACUUCAAAUACCACUCCCUGUUAACAACGCCCUGAGUAUCUCACUGUCUCCAGGAUCUGGUUUAAAGGGAAACACAGAAAUGGCCAACAGCUCCCUCCCCAGGCAGGACUGCGAUUUCACAGACAACCUAUAGGCAUCCCCAGUCUGGUGAAUAAACAGGAGAGUGAGAGGAAAACAGCAAUCAUUCAACUCCAGUAGAUGUAAAGCCUCCAGAAGAAUGUGUCCCGGGAAGGUCAGAAAUGUCAUUUUUUUCCUCCAGCACAUUUCAUCUGCCACAUUCCGCCGUCCGAUGUUUGAGGAAGGAGCCCCGCCUUUCCUUCAGGGGUUCUUGUCGCCAAGUUUGAUGGUGACAGUUUUCACUUCUGUGUAUUCGGCCAAAGCGUAUUCACCUCUUUCUCUGCCAUUUCCUGACAUUUUAAAGCCACCAAAUGGAGCCUGUGCAUAGAGGGCGUUGUAGCAGUUGAUCCUAGAAAAGAAUGGAAGAAAGCUCAGAGUCAUCUGGAGAAGACCCCCUGGCUCCUGGCACUGCAGCCACUUAGCC